rnacentral:lncRNA from 1 species
GGCAUAUGGUCUAAAAUCACGAUGCAGGUGGGGUGAUAUAUAUAGUGCAUCUGGGACAGAUAAGAAAAAGAUAAUGCUAAUUCCUGAGGAUGGGGUAGCAACAGAAGGAAUGGAGAAGCUCCACUAUGAAGUGAUUAUAGAGGCUAUAUGUAAAGAUUUCUCUUGUGACUGCUUUUGAGGAAAAAUAAAGAAGAAAUAAGGAAUAGCAAUAGUAAAAGCAAGAGCCCAAUCAGAGCUGGAACAUUCAGUUGUAAUGCAGUGCUCUGAGACCAGUUUUUGACCAAGGCUGUUAUUGCACCUGCAUGGGGAGGCUGAGACAUCAAAGGCAACACAUGAAAGGGAGAAAAACAGUAAAUUUAGGGAUUUGAUUAUUUGUGUAAAUCAUCAUAGAUACAGCAUUUCUCUUUGAUGUAGCCAGCACAGCAAAGGGUUGGGAGGUCACACUUAAAUUGUAAACUGCUUCUCGGCUCCUCCAUGAUCCUCCUCCAAAGCAAGAUUUCUGUGCAAUAUAGUCCUAUUCCACUUAAUUUCCACCCCCCACUUCCCCUUUUCAUAGUUUUCCUAUGAAGUGGUUACUUAUUACUUGUGGAACUGCUGGUGGGAUCGGUACCAAAAGAUGUUGAUGCAAAACCCAGUCUCCCUCUUGGUUAAUGAAGUCUUCAAGCUAGUUCUUUGAAUAUGGCUUAUAAGAAGGCAUUUCAAUAAAGCUGAAAUUUGAUUUCCA